CACGCCGUAAACGAUGAGCACUAGGUGUCGGGCCCGCGAGGGUUCGGUGCCGGAGUUAACGCAUUAAGUGCUCCGCCUGGGGAGUACGCACGCAAGUGUGAAACUCAAAGGAAUUGACGGGGACCCGCACAAGCAGCGGAGCAUGUGGUUUAAUUCGAAGCAACGCGAAGAACCUUACCAGGGCUUGACAUCCUCCUGACGCAUCCGUAACGGGAUGUUCCCUUCGGGGCAGGAGAGACAGGUGG
rnacentral:rRNA from 1 species